GAUGAACGCUGGCGGCGUGCCUAAUACAUGCAAGUCGAGCGAACGGACGAGAAGCUUGCUUCUCUGCUGUUAGCGGCGGACGGGUGAGUAACACGUGGAUAACCUACCUAUAAGACUGGGAUAACUUCGGGAAACCGGAGCUAAUACCGGAUAAUAUUUUGAACCGCAUGGUUCAAAAGUGAUAGACGGUCUUGCUGUCACUUAUAGAUGGAUCCGCGCUGCAUUAGCUAGUUGGUAAGGUAACGGCUUACCAAGGCAACGAUGCAUAGCCGAGCUGAGAGGGUGAUCAGCCACACUGGAACUGAGACACGGUCCAGACUCCUACGGGAGGCAGCAGUAGGGAAUAUUCCGCAAUGGGCGAAAGCCUGACGGAGCAAUGCCGCGUGAGUGAUGAAGGUCUUCGGAUCGUAAAACUCUGUUAUUAGGGAAGAACAGAUGUGUAAGAAACUGUGCACAUCUUGACGGUACCUAAUCAGAAAGCCACGGCUAACUACGUG
rnacentral:rRNA from 1 species